rnacentral:lncRNA from 1 species
GGGAGGCUGAGGGAGACUUGACCGCAGAAGAGACGGGAGGUGAUGGAGGAAGCGGGAAUGGAGAGACACGCCCUCAGCCGGCGCCGGCUGCUUCUAGAGAUGGAAUCGACAAGGAAGGGCUUCUCCCCUGGAACCAGCCCUGCUGACACUUUGAUUUUAGCCCCAGGAGACUCAUGGUGGAUCUCUGGCCUCCAGAACCAUAAGAGAAUAAAUUUGGUUGUGAAGAGCCACUAAGUUUGUGGUAUUUCUUAUAGCAGCAGCAAGCAAAUUAAUCCGGAGGUGACGUUGCCUCACCUAGGACCACAGAGCCAGUCUGGGGGGUAGGACCAGACCCCUCGCAGUGCUUCCAGCUUGGUGCCUUGCCGGCCUCAGCUUCUCCUCCCAGGACUCAGCGUUGCGUUGCGGGGCCUCCCUCCCUCUGCGCCUCCUGGAAGCCUGUCCCGCCAGCCCCGAGGCCAGGUCAGACGCUCUGUGGAGAGCCGUCAUCCAGGAUCCCCACCUCUCCUCCCGGAAACUCUCCCUCCCCUCUGCUCUCCACCUGCCGGCCUCAGUGGCUGGAAGCCCCCUCCAUUCCGAUGAAGGCUGCCCCCCCACACCCCCGAUGCCUCAUUCCUCCUCCACCGUCAGCACCUCCAGAGCACUGACUCCGACUGCUCCGUGGGGUAGAGGCCCUGCUCGCUCACUCGUCAUUCAUUUGUUCACUGGGUCUUCAUUCAACAAACAUCAAUCAGGCACCCACAGGUGCCGGGCAGCGUCUUGGUGCUGGGGAUACAGCAUGAACAAAACAGAGAAGUUCCCCGGCUGGGUGAGCUCCAUUCCAGUGGGCGCAGACCCACACAAAAGCACUAGGUGCCGGACAAGCUAAUAUACGAGUGAAAUACCAAGCUCACACCCACGGUGAAUUCUCCCGCUAACGGGUGACCCUACAUGGAGCAUGCCUUUGUCCAUGCGUCCAUCCACUAUGGAUGCCCAGGGCUCUGCUGUGGAGAAGAAUCUCCGUGCCCUGGGGAUGACAGAGGUAACCAUAGCCAGUGACCUUUCAAGGCUCUGUGCCCUUCACGGCAGCUGUCACACGGGCUCCCAGCUCUGCUUCCAUAUCCUCACUGACCAGUUGCUCCCCCUGCCCAGAGCAGCUUCGACCGUGAGCAGAUGCUCUCCAAGUUUAACACGUCUCCUUGUAUCCUACCCCACUUCUGUCUACUGAAGGCC